rnacentral:rRNA from 1 species
UACGAAGGGGGCUAGCGUUGUUCGGAAUUACUGGGCGUAAAGGGCGCGUAGGCGGUACUUCAAGUCAGGCGUGAAAGCCCCGGGCUCAACCUGGGAACUGCGCUUGAGACUGGAGAACUAGAGUUCGGGAGAGGAUGGUGGAAUUCCCAGUGUAGAGGUGAAAUUCGUAGAUAUUGGGAAGAACACCGAUGGCGAAGGCAGCCAUCUGGACCGACACUGACGCUGAGGCGCGAAAGCGUGGGGAGCAAACAGG